AAUCGAUUCAGGGUGUUAGGCAAUGGUUAGGAUUUUCGGUAAUUUCUUUACGUCGUUAUUCUUCUUACCUAAAUGUGACACCGCAUUCUAUUUAUUGUAGGCUCAGAUUCUCAGGAUUUUGUUCGAUCUUCUCCCCAGACUCGGACUUGAGUCAUCGUUUUCCAGGGAAUUCUCCUUUUGAUUAUUGGUCCAGCAAAUCUUCUGGGAUGAUACCUACUCGUUCUCGGACAGCAUCCAGACAGACAGAUUCUUUAGGGGGUGAUCAGGCUCCUCAGCCCUCACCCACCAACGGUAACACGGUCAGAGGCCGUGGUGAACAACAUGGCCGAGGCCGAGGUAGAGGCCGGGGCCGUGGUUCAGGUCGUAGUGGAGUUGACUUUGAUGGUAGUACUCCGGUGCGAGAUAGAGACUAGCUGAUUAUUGACUCCUUGGCAAACAUCACGGUGCUGUUGACAA